rnacentral:lncRNA from 1 species
ACGCAACUGCGACAAGGCACGGCGCGACGCAGCUCGGCGAUGAGGCGGUGAGACGAGGCGUGGUUGGAAGGUGGAGGCAGCUUGGAGAAGGGGCGGCGACGGUCUUGAGAGAGAGAGAGAUUUUAGGAGGGAUGAGUAUAUUAGUAUUUUUUUUUUGAUUAUUUUAUUUAUUUAUUUUAAUUUUAUUUUCAUUAAAGGUAUAAUCAUCCAUUUAUAUAAAAAUUGGGUAUAUUAGUAUAUAUUAAUUUUGAUGAAUAUAUUUUAAUUUUUGUCUUUGAAGUGGGUGAAAGUUACCAUUAACCUUUUUACAUACUCGCUUCGUUCCGUAGGAG